ACAAGUUUUAGGGUGAUUGGCAUUUUUAAUAACCGUCCAUCCACCCUGAUCUGAUGGUGAUAAAUAGACGGAACCAAUCUGACGGAACCAAAAAUGUGGGACCGGAACCUUAAAUGUAUUUUCUGAAAAUUAUAAAAAACAAGUGUCCUUUUGAGCGGCCGAAACAUCCGAUGAAACUGCACGAAUCUUAAAGUGAUUGACUUUAUCCCCUCUCCCCGCUCAUCAUCUUUUCUUUUUCUUGAACUGGCCCCUCUUCAUCAUCUCUGGUAGUAUGUUUCCGACGGAAUCCUCUCCCCGGAGAUCCUCUCUCCACCAACCAGAUCACAUCCUAAUUCCAAUUUCUUGCCAGCGAGCGACCCUAUCGGUGAACUCUCGAUGACUGCGCGGCUGUCUCCCACAUGGCUGUCGUCGGCGGAACCACCAAGUCGUGCACCUGCGCUAGGCGAGGAAGGAGGAGGGACGUCGGGGCCAUAUCCAGGAUAAGCGGCAGGGAACCUGGGCGGCGCUGCCUCCUCUCGAUUCCCCAAUUCCCGGACCCUGCCUCUGCGCUCCGUGCCCGUUUCGUGUUCGACGGAAGGCUCGCCUGAUCAGCGGAAGUCAGGGGAGGCAGGGAUAUACUUGGUGAAACUUGACGGGCGGCAGGAGGCUCUCCACUUCGCCAAGAUCAUGUUGCGGCUCAAGAAGCUCAGCUACGGCCUCAGCCAGGAGCACGGCGACCCUGUCCUCAUCAGAAUGUCUGCGCCAGCCUAACGCUGGCCUUACAGAGAGGGACACUAGCAGGUACUUCCAAGUCUGCCAGGACCGAUAUGGGGCGGAAGAUGACAUCGGUGCAUCAUAGGCUCUCUUUGCUUGACAGCAACAAUGGCAGCAGAGGUUGACACAUUGAUGAUGAUGAUGAUUUUAAGCUGGUGGUGAGAUGCUUAAAAGAACGAAAUCAUCUGAUCUCCCGUUAGUUGGGUUGGAAACAACUGGUUCUUGAGUUUGAAUUAUUCCUCCAAUAAUCCAAAAGUUAACUUUCAUAGUUCUUAAUUCAUGGUUGUUCCUAGCAGCUAUGGUGAAGUUUAUGAAGAAGCUUGCUAGGAUGGAUAUUGAUAUGAGGGUUGAAGAGAAGCAUUCAUUUUCAGUUUGUUUUUAAGAAUACAAUUUGUACCAGUUGUGCCCUAUGUCGAAAAGAUUAUCGUUAAGUUUGUUUUUGGGCUCUCUAGUGCCAUUUCCCCUUCUAUUGUAAGAGUGGAGCAUGUGACAUAACACUUCUAAAGUGGCUCACACAUUCUUAUUGGAGAGCUAAGGAAGGUUACCUCAUAAUAUGUUACUGCAGUUAUAUCAAAGUGGUACUGAUAACUUGCCUAAUA